AUUGAACGCUGGCGGAAUGCUUUACACAUGCAAGUUGAACGGCAGCACGGGGGCAACCCUGGUGGCGAGUGGCGAACGGGUGAGUAAUACAUCGGAACGUGCCCAGUCGUGGGGGGUAACGUAGCGAAAGUUACGCUAAUCCCGCAUAGGAUCUACGGAUGAAAGCGGGGGACCGUAAGGCCUCGCGCGAUUGGAGCGGCCGAUGUCAGAUUAGGUAGUUGGUGGGGUAAAGGCUCACCAAGCCGACGAUCUGUAGCUGGUCUGAGAGGACGACCAGCCACACUGGGACUGAGACACGGCCCAGACUCCUACGGGAGGCAGCAGUGGGGAAUUUUGGACAAUGGGCGCAAGCCUGAUCCAGCCAUUCCGCGUGCAGGACGAGGGCCUUCGGGUUGUAAACUGCUUUUGUACGGAACGAAAAGGCUCUGGUUAAUACCUGGGGCUCAUGACGGUACCGUAAGAAUAAGCACCGGCUAACUACGUGCCAGCAGCCGCUGUAA
rnacentral:rRNA from 1 species